AUGUGCCACGCGUCCAACGGGUGCUGAGCGCGCCAUCCACGCCCAGCUGACGACUGCGCGCUUCGGUCUGUUGGUC
rnacentral:sRNA from 1 species